AAAAACAUCGCCUCCUGCAAACAAAUAGGAGGUCCAGCCUGCCCAGUGACCAAGUUAAACGGCCGCGGUACCCUAACCGUGCGAAGGUAGCGCAAUCACUUGUUCUUUAAAUGAGGACUAGUAUGAAUGGCAUUACGAGGGUUACACUGUCUCCCCCUUCUAAUCAGUGAAACUGAUCUCCCCGUGAAGAAGCGGGGAUAUAAAUAUAAGACGAGAAGACCCCAUGGAGCUUUAAACUUACCAUCAAUUACUCACCCUACACCACACCAAAUAGGUAAUCAUGAUGCUCAGUUUUCGGUUGGGGUGACCGCGGAGCAAAACUAAACCUCCACGAUGACUUCUAAUCAAAGAGCCACAACUCAAAGAAUCAACAAAUUGACAUACUUUGACCCAAAGAAAUUUGAUCAACGAACCAAGUUACCCUGGGGAUAACAGCGCAAUCCAUUUCAAGAGCCCCUAUCGACAAAUGGGUUUACGACCUCGAUGUUGGAUCAGGGUAUCCCAGUGGUGCAGCCGCUACUAAAGGUUUGUUUGUUCAACAAUUAAAACCCUACGUGAUCUGAGUUC
rnacentral:rRNA from 1 species